GGUAAAAUGGCUGAUAAUAGGCGAUAGAUUGUAAAUUUAUUAAUGAGAACUUUCUCUUUUACU
rnacentral:tRNA from 1 species